rnacentral:rRNA from 1 species
AUCGAACGCUGGCGGCAGGCCUAAUACAUGCAAGUCGAGCGAGCGGCGGACGGGUGAGUAAUGUCUGGGAAACUGCCUGAUGGAGGGGGAUAACUACUGGAAAAGGUAGCUAAUACCGCAUACCAUCAGAUGUGCCCAGAUGGGAUUAGCUAGUAGGUGGGGUAACGGCUCACCUAGGCGACGAUCCCUAGCUGGUCUGAGAGGCUGACCAGCCACACUGGAACUACGACACGGUCCAAACUCCUAGGGGAGGCAGCGGUGGGAAAUAUUGCACAAGGGGCGCAGGCCUGAUGCAGCCAUGCCGCGUGUGUGAAGAAGGCCUUCGGGUUGUAAGGCACUUUCAGCGGGGAGGCGUUACCCGCAGAAGAAGCACCGGCUAACUCCGUGCCAGCAGCCGCGGUAAUUC